rnacentral:rRNA from 1 species
UUUGCCUACGGGACGCAGCAGUGGGGAAUAUUGGGCAAUGGGCGAAAGCCUGACCCAGCAACGCCGCGUGAAGGAAGAAGGCUUUCGGGUUGUAAACUUCUUUUGUCAGGGACGAAGCAAGUGACGGUACCUGACGAAUAAGCCACGGCUAACUACGUGCCAGCAGCCGCGGUAAUACGUAGGUGGCAAGCGUUAUCCGGAUUUACUGGGUGUAAAGGGCGUGUAGGCGGGACUGCAAGUCAGAUGUUAAAACUCAGGGCUCAACCCUGAGCCUGCAUUUGAAACUGUAGUUCUUG